CAAGUCGAUGAGGGAGCCCGGGGGCUACGAGGUGAUCAAGAAGGCGAUCGAGAAGCUGGGCAAGCGGCACAAGGAGCACAUCGCGGCCUACGGCGAGGGCAACGAGCGCCGCCUCACGGGCCACCACGAGACCGCCGACAUCAACACCUUCAAAUGGGUAGGAUGAUGAUCGAAUGCCGCCAUGGCUUCCCUGCGAUUUCUGCUCGUUGCUCACCCUACCGCUGCGUGCGUGCUGCAGGGCGUGGCGAACCGCGGCGCGUCCAUCCGGGUGGGGCGCGACACGGAGAAGGAAGGCAAGGGCUACUUCGAGGACCGCAGGCCGGCCUCCAACAUGGACCCCUACGUCGUCACCGGCAUGAUCGCCGAGACCACCAUCCUGGGGAAGGGGAACUGAGACUGACAGAUGAUCGUCAACGCCUGGACACGCAUCAAAACCGUUGGUGUCAGUUGGAUUUUCCGAUUUCCGAUUCCGAUUCCGAUUCCCCGUCGACGAGGCCUUUGAUGGCCCGUCCGUUUUGGGGUUGUGCGUCCUAAACCACUUUCGCUCCCCUGUGACACUGUGUACUCUGAAUGAAAAAGUCUGAAUAAUGGCUGUAGCGGAUUUGC
rnacentral:lncRNA from 1 species